rnacentral:lncRNA from 1 species
GUCAUUCUGAGCUCUCUCAAAUCCUCUUUCACAAUUUCUCGAUCUCACUCACUCAGCCCUCCUCUCCUCUCUUCUAUCUUCUAUCUUUCUUGCUCACACCCACAUCGACGAUAGUCACUGUCACCUCCUCAGAAACCCUAACCCACAUCGGCGACGACCACCUUUCCACCUCCAUCUCUCACUCUCUGUCAUCUCUUUCGACCACCAUGCCUAGAGAUGGCGUCUCAGGUAGACAACUUGGCUUUUCUCCUACACAUUUUGGUUUUCUUUUCCUUGUUUCAAUUUCAUAUGCGGGUUUGGAUUUUUGGUGCUUGAUGUGAGUUCAAGUCCCUCCAAGUCAAAUUUGGGUGAGAUUGUACAGAAAUUUGUUCAAACAUAAUUGUGGGUUUAAUUUAAAAUUUUUUACUCUCUUUGUAUACAAUUACUAUUUUCAACUUAUGUAGAGAACGUUAUUUCAGUGGGACUAUACAAGAACUUUUUGAACCAAAAUUUUGAGAUUGUGCAACAAAUAUUUCUUAGUUUGUCUUAAGGAAUAUUAUGCUUGAAGCUUGUCCAAUCUACAAUGAUUUUGAAGAU